UUUCGGAGCUAACGCGUUAAGUAGACCGCCUGGGGAGUACGGUCGCAAGAUUAAAACUCAAAUGAAUUGACGGGGGCCCGCACAAGCGGUGGAGCAUGUGGUUUAAUUCGAUGCAACGCGAAGAACCUUACCUACUCUUGACAUCCAGAGAACUUUCCAGAGAUGGAUUGGUGCCUUCGGGAACUCUGAGACAGGUGCUGCAUGGCUGUCGUCAGCUCGUGUCGUGAG
rnacentral:rRNA from 1 species